rnacentral:rRNA from 1 species
GUGGGGAAUAUUGGACAAUGGGCGCAAGCCUGAUCCAGCCAUGCCGCGUGUGUGAAGAAGGCCUUCGGGUUGUAAAGCACUUUUGUUGGGAAAGAAAUCCUGUCGGCUAAUACCCGGCGGGGAUGACGGUACCCAAAGAAUAAGCACCGGCUAACUUCGUGCCAGCAGCCGCGGUAAUACGAAGGGUGCAAGCGUUACUCGGAAUUACUGGGCGUAAAGCGUGCGUAGGUGGUUCGUUAAGUCAGAUGUGAAAGCCCCGGGCUCAACCUGGGAAUUGCAUUUGAUACUGGCGGACUAGAGUGCGGUAGAGGAGAGUGGAAUUCCCGGUGUAGCAGUGAAAUGCGUAGAGAUCGGGAGGAACAUCAGUUGCGAAGGCGGCUCUCUGGACCAGCACUGACACUGAGGCACGAAAGCGUGGGGAGCAAACAGGAUUAGAUACCCCAGUAGUCC